rnacentral:rRNA from 1 species
GUAGUCCACGCUGUAAACGAUGAUCACUCGAGAUCGGCGAUACACGGUCGGUCUCCUAGCGAAAGCGUUAAGUGAUCCACCUGGGGAGUACGAUCGCAAGAUUGAAACUCAAAGGAAUUGACGGGGGCCCGCACAAGCGGUGGAGCAUGUGGUUCAAUUCGAUGAUACGCGAGGAACCUUACCAGGGCUCGAACGCACGACGACAGGGGCGGAAACGUCCUCUUCUUCGGACGGCGUGCGAGGUGCUGCAUGGCUGUCGUCAGCUCGUGCCGUGAGGUGUCGGGUUAAGUCCCAUAACGAGCGCAACCCCCAUCCCUAGUUGCCAGCGGGUCAAGCCGGGAACUCUAGGGAAACUGCCCGUGUAAGCGGUGA